AGAAGCGUAAGAGACAUACGUUUCAGAAAUCCACCCUGGAUAACGUGCGUAUUAAUAUUUAUAAACAAUGUGUGAUUUAUUCGAUAAUGAAAUUCUGACAAAACUUCCUUCAUCGACAUGUCUCUCUAUUUUCACUUCAGGUAACUGUUUCCUACAUUACCCACAAUGCCGUUCUGAUAGCGGUACAGUGAUCUGUGCUGAAUUUCAGUCCUAUCAGAAACAUCGUAAUUACGAGGUGAGCGCACCUGAACGCCAGGACGAUGACGUAACUACAACGCAGGAGCUCGUAUUCUUCUGUGAGCCCCGAGGUUCCUGAGUUGGGGGCGUGGCAACAACAAAACAGCCACGCUAAUAUAAACAUAGCGUCUACGUUACACGUUACGCACCUUUCACUGAAGCUCACCUGGAGGCAGGUACGGCACCGCAGCGGCGUUGGUUAUUCAGCACUGGGUGUGGCGUUGAGCGAGACGCUCUGGUAGAACGUGUUCAGUCUUGCUGAGUCACACACCUCCUGACGCAUGCACUAGCUCCGUGCUUCAUCUGCGUCCUCAACACCACUUACUCUCAGCUUUAACUGUAAACGGGAUCCAAAAUGUUGUUGUUGUUGUUUUUAAGAUUUACGAUUUAUUUUCGGUUGUUGCUGUUACACAGAUAUUCCUGAUCAUGUGACCGAGUCCCAGCAUGCAGCUCGUUAUGGCCCUCUGAUGGACGAGGACAUGUACGCUAAUAACAAGAUAAAAUAUUAAUCACACUUGAAGGAAUGUUCAAAGAACAGCAUGUUUAUUUACUUAUUAGCUUUACUUUAAAUUAUUGGGAGGUUUUAAAUAAUUAACAUUUUGUUUUUAAAUGAACCAGUGCCGUGCAUAAGUAUUCACCCCCCCUUGAACUUUUCUCACAUUUUGUAUUGAACUGAAAUGGACUUACAGGAUUUUAUUUCAUGAAUCUACAAAAAAAAAAAAAAAAAGGCAAAA